rnacentral:lncRNA from 1 species
ACAUCUCAGAGGUGCUUAUGAACGACACUGGCCCUUACCACUGCUAUGUGAAGAUAGGGAACAGCAACCCGACCGAAAAGGUGACUCACCUGCUCGUUAGAGGUCGGCAGCCAUGGGCAGCCUCUGGGGGCCUCAGCUUCUCUGUACCUCCAGGAGGCAAAGUCACCUUGGACUGUGACUUCCCUGCCAAGCUGCCUGGCAGCUUCACCUACCUCUUUUGGCUGCACGAGCAAGACCAGAGCCCACCCCGACUCGUGGCAUGGACAAACACAUCCAGUUUCCAGAACAACAGUGGCAGCACUGGAAGUCGUUUCCAGAGCAUAUUUGACCUGGAAAAUCACUGGAGCCAUCUCAACAUUACCGGGCUGGAAGAGAAGGACAGCGGCUGGUACCAGUGUGAGGGCCUGGGAGAGCUUUCAGGCUGGCAGAGAGGGACGAGAACCCACCUCGCUGUGCAAGGUGAGCUUGUUUUCUGGGACCUUGUGUGCAAGUGAAAUCCUUCUGCUCUGCUAAGGCUUUGUAUUUCACAGUCAGUCUAACACACGGGCUAGAUCUGUUCAGGGCUUGAUGACAGGGUGCGUGUGACACUCCUCAGCUGGGACACAUCCCAACGUGCGGGGUGCCUCUCGUUCGCCUUGCGCUGCCCUGCAGAGCGUGGGGAGUGCAGGCAGGCAGCAGCUGGAGCUGUGUCUGCAGCACGCUCCUACCUGCAACGGGCUGAGAGGGCGGGCUGCCCAGAGUGUGAGCUGCUGUUGUGCUACAAUGGUAAAGCUUUGCAGAGUCACAGAACAUGAAAGUGAGAUGCACGGAUACAUUUAAAGUGUCUACAAAACCACAGAACGUCAUCUGUGAAGAGACACGGGUUACGUGCCCCUUGCUGCAGGGGGUUAUCUGGAAAAGAUACUGGUUGCCUUGAUGGUUCAAGGUUCAGGAACCAAUUUCAUUUCUACCUAACGAUGACAUGGAUUUUUAAUGCAUUUACAUUAAUGUGCACAAGUACCUUUAUCCAGGGCAACUCAGUAACAAAUCCCAGCAGAAUUGUUUGUUGUGUUUGCAGCCUGGCCAAUUAAUCCAGAACACAGUUAGUUGCAAUUUUGCAGUAAUUUGGACUCACCAUGACUCAACUGGGAAAUACCAGAUGUGAGGAUGAAGCAGGCCCCUGUUCUGAAGUGUAGGACAUGCCGUGUCCCCGCUGAUUUGGUGCCCAAAAGAUGUGAUUCAUAUUUGAGGAGAAGCUCUUAA